rnacentral:misc_RNA from 1 species
GAUGAAGAACGUAGCGAAAUGCGAUAAGUAAUGCGAAUUGCAGAAUUCAGUGAAUCAUCGAAUCUUUGAACGCACAUUGCGCCCGCCAGUAUUCUGGCGGGCAUGCCUGUCUGAGCGUCGUUUCGACCCUCGCGCCCGGCUUCUGUCGGGGGCGGUGUUGGGGAUCGGCCACUCCCUUCAGUGGGAGGCCGGCCCCUAAAUUCAGUGGCGACCACGCUGUAGCCUCCCCUGCGUAGUACUAAAACCACCUCGCAGGCGGAGAGCGGUGCGGCCCGCCGUAAAACCCCCCAACUUUUACAAGGUCGACCUCAGAUCAGGUAGGAAUACCCGCUGAACUUAAGCAUAUCAAUAAGCGGAGGA